rnacentral:rRNA from 1 species
UACGAAGGGGGCUAGCGUUGCUCGGAAUUACUGGGCGUAAAGCGCACGUAGGCGGAUUGUUAAGUCGGGGGUGAAAUCCUGGAGCUCAACUCCAGAACUGCCUUCGAUACUGGCGAUCUCGAGUCCGGGAGAGGUGAGUGGAACUGCGAGUGUAGAGGUGAAAUUCGUAGAUAUUCGCAAGAACACCAGUGGCGAAGGCGGCUCACUGGCCCGGUACUGACGCUGAGGUGCGAAAGCGUGGGAGCAAACAGGG